CAGAAUUCUUCCUGCAAUGAGACAUCAUGAACUCAAGCUUCAUUAAAUCCCAAAAAGAGAGAAACCUCUUCAUAUUGAGAGUUACAUGUCUUGUUCAGUUGAUCAUCUAAAGGAAGCUGAGGGUCAAAUAUGGAUAUAAUGUAUUUACAUCCAGAGAUGUUAAUACUGCGUGGCCCUAUGCUCUAUUCAAGGAAUAAUACAGUCAACAAUAAACUAAAAAGCACCAGUUAUCAAAACCACAGACAUGUGAAAACAGCAACGAAGCAUGGAAGUGCACUUAGUCCACUGAAGCUGCUCUGUCACACACUCAGACAUCUGUCCAGUGAAGCAUAACUCUGUUGCCAGGCUGGGCUAAUGGACAUAAUUCUAUAACUACGAGACAUGGAGGAGAGUCUGUGCUGAUAAAAAAGCAGAAUAAACAAAGAAUAAUAAGCUUUAACCCUGGUAAUGACAGCUCGCAACAGUUUCGCCAUGAAAGGAGAUAUAUAAACUGGCUGUGUCUGGGCUAUGCCUGGAGAAAUGGGUGCUUCUCAAUCUAAAUUCCUCCUAAAAGAAGCUCUGAGUUCAGCAGACCUACCACUUUGAUAAAGGAGACACAAGAAGAAAAGAGAAUAUAUUUCACAGAAGAGGAGGCUGGAGUGAGAACUGUGCAGGAGAAAGUCCCUUCAGAAUAACAGUAUGUAUAAGCCUUAUCUCUGGUUAUGGUAAUAACAUAGAAAUAUGUCAAAAAAAUCUUAAGUCAGGACUCAAGACUGGAAGAAUUAUAAAAACACUGGAAACUUUGUAACUUUCACAUAUAUAACAUAACUUUUUAAAAGCAAAUUUUUAUUAAUAGUUAAGCAAAAUGUAUUUAAUAACAAGCUGAUGUCUCGACAUUCAAUUCUCACUCUCCUGCCAUCCUUCCCUUUCAUUCCUACUAAUGACCACCAGGAAUGUUCUACUAAUGAAGGAUUUUGAUUUACUUUGAUUAACAGAAAAUUCCACUCUGGUCUUAGUCCUGCUGUCUCAGAACCUCAUUCAAUUGGUUACUCUGGACACCUUGCUGAAUAUGCAAGUUUCAGUCAGAAGACCUGGACUGCAUUUGAGGAAUCUACAACUAGCCUUAUAAAAAGAAGGGAAGAUGAGAGGCCUGGAAAUACAGAUUGCCUACUUAGUAAAAGGUUGCUCAAGACCAUCAAAUGAUGCUGAAGCUCACAGCUUCCGCAUGGCAAAAGCUGCACCUGUCCAAUACUGCUGUGCAAGAACAACAAAUGCUUUGUU